GGUAGAGAGAGGUGAAUGCCUGUGGAGGAACUAGGCUGUAGAGUCUAGGGAACUCUCCAUCUGAUAGUGUAAACGCCUUUUUUUCAGGGGCUACCCCCCAUUUUGUCUCUGGGAAAGAGGAAAAACCCAUCGAAACUUGAUGGCAAAGUGGAUUGUUCACAUUGAUUGUCAGGGAAAGUGCAAACAAAGAGGUGCAUCUCUCGGAACAAUGAUUUGGGAGGGUCCCCCGGAGGGUCCCCCCCCCCACUUGUGCGCUUUGGAGGAGAGAGCUGUAAAAAGGGGACUGACUGGGUGGGGAGGAGACCCGGGCUGGCAUCUCUUGGAAAAAGUUGCAAGCGAGAUAGUCGCGGAGGGGGUGCGGUGCAGUGAGGUGGGAGAAGGUCGGAACAGAGUUGAGUGGAACUGGCGACUAAGCAGCCUGGUUAGUUGCGGAGGUUCCGGAGCUGGCGGGAGAUGCGUGGAGAGGGUGGGGGCAGGGAGGGGAGAGAGAGAGGAAGAAGGGGUGAGAGGGAGAAACCUGCCGCCGUUCGCCGCCUCUUUGUCUGCAGCGAGACUUGGAACAAAAGGGGGAACUCUGAUGAACUCUUUCUCCUCCCCUCACAACCCCCCCCCCCCUCCGCCUGGGUAUCUCCCUCGCGCAACUUUGCCGCCGCGACUUUCUCCGCUGUCAGGCCGCCACAAAAGUGUCCCCAGCGCCUCUCCAACUGCAAAGAAGGACAGAUCCCUUAAAAGUCCGACAAAGUGGGAAAGAAGGUAUAAUUGUUAUCCUCAGGAUUUAAAAUGCACCAUACAUUUGAUGGCCCUACUGCAAUGUUCUUACUGGAGCUUUCUAUCAGUAAACAGUAUAUAACUACCAGACAACAGCAAGCCAUUCCUGGAUGGAAAGUUUUCCAACUUAUUAAUUUGGAGUUACUUGAAAGUUGAAAUAUUGGAAUUUUUCAUAUCUUACCUAUGUGGAUUACUACAAUUUAAUCUUUGGGAGCUCUCUACCUAAAGAAGCCCUGGUUUUUGGCUUCUUCAGAUGACCAAGCUAAAGAUUAAAGAAAGAAAGAAAACUCUCCCCACCCUGGCUACUGAGAGAUUAUAUAAUGGACUUUCAGAUGCCAACAGAAUUGACGCCCAGCAUAUUCAGGUAUGAAUAAUGGCGAUGAAGUGAAAGAUGGUGACUUACUGCUUUGGGGGCAUACAUGUAUAUGAUUAAGGGAUGUAAGUGCAAGACUCCAAGAUUUACUUCCUUACUGUUCCAGUGGGGAUAGCUGAAGAGAGUGAGUAAUGGGAUAAUUUAUAACACCAUAGGCCAUUCGUCAAGAGACCUCUAGUCAAAACAGAAAGAUAAAACUCAGGAAAUUUCAAUGAGAAAAAUACACCUUUUAAUGCUUUUUGGAUAUGCCUCUUUCAAAUAACAUAGUCUUCAGGAUUUUUGUUCUAGGAGAUUCCACUAAAAAAGGUUAGUGUCUCAAUACUGGUUAAUCAUCUAACUACUGGUCUAAAUUAUGUAUUUCUCCCAUGCAUUUUUGUUUGCUGGAAUUUUUUUAUCUAUUAAACCUUUUAAAAUUGUCUUUAUUUCUUUAUUGACUAGAGACAGCCAGAAAUAAGGAGGGAAGGGAUGAUAGAGAAGGAGAGAGACAGAGAGAUACCUGCAACACUGUUUCACCACUUGUAAAGCUUCCCCCCUGAAGGCAGGGACUAGGGACUGGAAUCUGAAUCCUUGUGCAUUGUAACACUUGCACAUAGCCAGGUGCACCACCACCCGGCCCCUGUUAGAAUCCUUACAUAGGAAGCAUAGUGACCUACUUAUAAAAAUCAGAUUAUUUUUAUAAGGUCAUUGUACUAUCAUAUUUUAGUAGUAUGAUGACAACUCAGCAAUAAUGUUUUAUAGUUUCUGUUAUAAAAUUACCAACUUAUGCUUCUUAGAACCUCUCUUUUUUUGUGUGUAUGUAUGUAUACCAUUCCAGUUUUGAGUUAAUAAUAUGGUAGGUUGGAUGGGUAGUUUAUUUCUCGUGUGUGUGUG